rnacentral:lncRNA from 10 species
UCGGCGCUGCAGGAUGACGCGAGCCUCUCGCGUCCCUGGUUUUCUCGGUCGCAGCGUUGAGUUAUUGGGUGGAAAGGCAUCACCUUAGAGUCAACCUUCUUUGAAACCACUGUCUCAGAGAAAUCCCUCCAAGACACAGGUAAUUAGAGAGGGUAUGUGAACCAAGGAGCCAAUCAAAUUCUCCCACAUAAGAAUUUGGGACACAGAAGAUGAAGCUGAGGACCACAAGGAUUUAGAUACUGAUGCUAUUUCCAGCAGAUUAUACAUAUGGUUGAAAGACCAAAUUGCUUUAUUCCAAUCUAAAAUUUAUGGAGUGAUUCUACACUAAAGAUUGCACUGACAGCAUGGAUUCAGGCAUUCUAAAGUCACUGGAGCAGAUAAAUUGUCUG